rnacentral:rRNA from 1 species
AGUAGGGCCUGCCCACUGAGUAUUUAAAGGGCCGCAGUAUUUUAACUGUGCAAAGGUAGCAUAAUCAUUAGUUUUUUAAUUGAAAGCUGGAAUGAAUGGUUUGAUGAGAAAAUAGCUGUUUCAAUAUUAUUUUUUUAAAAUUUUAUUUUUAAGUUAAAAAGCUUAAAUAAUUAUAAAAGACGAGAAGACCCUAUAGAGUUUUAUUAUUUAUUUAAUUUUUACUUAAAGAAUUUAUUUUUAAAAAUUUAAUAAUUAAUUUGAUUGGGGUGAUUGAAAAAUUUAAUAAACUUUUUUUAUAUAGUUACAUUUAUUUAUGAUUAAUUGAUCCAUUAAAAUGAUUAAAAGAAU